rnacentral:misc_RNA from 1 species
CAAUUUUCUAUUAAAGGCAGACAAGCAAUAACGGCGCGCCAUAUUUCCCAGGGACUUACGCGCCGCCUAUUUAACGAGUACACGCGGCCAGGCAGUCGCGCGAUAAAAACGAUUUUGUAACGGUAGCGUCCGUAAUGAACCUGUGGGGCUCGGAGCCCUAGACCCGGUUACCUUUCGCACAGUUGUCACGGUUAUUGGUUGGAGUGUCAAACUGCGCCGGAAUUCCGAAAAAGGGAAAACGAAACGAGCUGUCCGGGCCGCGAAACACCACCGAAGGAAACAAAGAACGAAACAAUCGUCGGUUAAUAGUUUAAUUGCAGGCAUUCAGAGGCUGUCUUACGCACCGUUGGACGCAUAGAAAACGGUACUCCUACGUGUUUUUACGCGGCCACUCUGUGAGUUUGUUGUCCUGAGUAUAAUGAGCCUGGACGAAACGGUUGACGAUAAGUCGGCGAGAGGUGA